rnacentral:rRNA from 1 species
ACGGGUGAGUAAUAUAUCGGAACGUGCCCAGUAGCGGGGGAUAACUACGCGAAAGCGUGGCUAAUACCGCAUACGCCCUACGGGGGAAAGGGGGGGAUCGCAAGACCUCUCACUAUUGGAGCGGCCGAUAUCAGAUUAGCUAGUUGGCGAGGUAAAGGCUCACCAAGGCGACGAUCUGUAGCUGGUUUGAGAGGACGACCAGCCACACUGGGACUGAGACACGGCCCAGACUCCUACGGGAGGCAGCAGUGGGGAAUUUUGGACAAUGGGGGAAACCCUGAUCCAGCCAUCCCGCGUGUGCGAUGAAGGCCUUCGGGUUGUAAAGCACUUUUGGCAGGGAAGAAACGGCGCUGACUAAUAUUCAGCGUCACUGACGGUACCUGCAGAAUAAGCACCGGCUAACUACGUGCCAGCAGCCGCGGUAAUACGUAGGGUGCAAGCGUUAAUCGGAAUUACUGGGCGUAAAGCGUGCGCAGGCGGUUCGGAAAGAAAGAUGUGAAAUCCCAGAGCUUAACUUUGGAACUGCAUUUUUAACUCCCGAGCUAGAGUAUGUCAGAGGGGGGUAGAAUUCCACGUGUAGC